rnacentral:lncRNA from 1 species
CCUGCCCCCGCCGAAUCCACCCACUUCCGGAUCUGAAGUCGUCUUCUACAUUUCCCCCCGACUACAUCCCGAUCUGAAGCAGCAAAAGAGGCGACAACUUAUACGGUAGAGGCAGCAGCAAUCAAUAACGGCGAGUGAUUGUAUAUGGCACAACAAUCAGAACUGGCAAGCCAAAAUAAUUUUAGCAAAUCCAAAUAGCAGCAGCAGCAAUAUAUAUCAAAGUGUGAUUGAAAACGGCCGUCAAGCAUAGUCACUUUCAGGAGACUCGUUACCAGCAACCAGUAGCAACAGUAACAAUCAUGUAGCUUUGGGCAACCCAACGACGCCGUUUGCUCAGUCACCAAGUGACAAUUAUCUAGAAGACUAGAACAUCUAAACCUUCGACUAAUUCAAACAAGAUGGCCUCUGAGAAUUUUGCAAGUUUCAUCACAUUUACAGGAAGAUUUGGAGGCCAGAUAUGUCAAUUUGGCUGCACACAAACGUAAUCAAACCACCUCUUGUUUCUGCUCAAUUUUAUGAAAUAGAGACAUUACAUUAUACCUUUACCCAAAUAUGAAGAUUGAAGAAGAAACCCCCUUGCACUUCUGUCAAAUAUUUUGGAGCACGAUACUACCCAUAUCACAAUGCAUGGCCAUAGGAACAGUCUCUUAAAUUUGUGUAUCAAAAUUCAGACUUAUCAAAGCUGCCUUCUGCAGUUUGGUAGAGGUAAUGCCAUCCAUGGGAACAGUCACAAUUUUGUAUUGGAGGUAUUCCAUCCAAUGAUCAAACUUUGAAUACAAAUCUGCCAUUCAGAAUCAGUGACCAACACAGAUGGUGAAGAAACAAGGGAAAUGACACACAAAUGCUUCAAAUGCUAAAAUAAGAAAAUACCCAAAAAAUGAAUCCGACCCAACAAACUGUAGAACAAAGAAAUGAAAAUGACGAAGUUUCGACUUUCAAAUUGUCUACCGGCUGCAAGAACCGGCAUCAAGUUGCACAAAACGAGGGAAGUUUAAAGACCAAUAACCAAAUAAACGCAGGGCUGAAAAGCUUGGGCUGAUUCACGGUUCAAUUGAGCGAAAUUGCCGGAGAUGGAAAGCAUAGUCGGCGGCGUAAUCUUGGUGGGUUUCUUUCUCUCCGUUCGGCGGGACCAGUUACGAGCAUCUUCUGGCGUUCCUUGUGGAGAAAUGGGUUUGGUGAAAGGUGGGGUGAAAUGGGG